GCUGGGUGUGGUGACACAUGCCUGUAAUCUCAGCAGCUUGGGAGGCUGAGGCAAGAGGAUUGCAAGUUCAAAGCCAGCCUCAGCAACUUAGCGAGACUCUAAGCAACUCAAUGAAACCUUGUCUCUA
rnacentral:sRNA from 1 species